GAGGGGAUUGCUCAGCGGUAGAGUGCCUGCUUAGCAUGCACGAGGUCCUGAGUUCAACCCUUAGCACCCCCA
rnacentral:tRNA from 1 species